rnacentral:rRNA from 1 species
AUGGGAAGCAGUAAUCAAGAACCGGGGGUGAGCCUCCGGACGGAUGGCUGGCUGCAGAAGCCUAUCGAUAGCCUCAUGCAGAUCCCGGAUAAGAUUCAGAACUCUCUGAAGCUACAUUUUGGGCGUUUCUUGAAGACGGAUGGUGUUAGCGGCGGCGGUAUCAAGGCACAAAUGCCAUCAGAGAAGGUGGGGGUAGCAUGUACCGCUGCUGCUGCUUCAGAGGUUAGCUUGGACCGGCAGCUCCAGGCUUGGAGGGACAAUCCUAGUUGGACUGAUCAGCCUCCAGAAAUCAAGGUGACUGUGCCACAAGGCUCUCUUUGCAACCUCAAUCUAAGAUUUCAGGCAGGAUUACCACCGGAUGCAGUUUACAACAUUAUAAUUGACCCGGAGAACAAAAGAGUGUUCAAAAAUAUCAAGGAAGUGGUGUCAAGGAACGUGUUGCUUGAUGAAGGAUCGAGGCAGAUAGUUGAAGUGGAACAGGCAGCGAUAUGGAAAUUCCUUUGGUGGUCUGGCAUCUUGUCAGUCCAUGUUUUUGUUGACCAGGACAGAAGAAAUCACACUGUGAAGUUCAAACAAGGGCGAAGUGGUUUUAUGAAGAAGUUUGAGGGUUGCUGGAAAAUAGAGCCCCUGUUUGUUGACAAGGAAGCAUGCCUUCCUCUUGAUCCACACACGCUGGAAGAAUAUGAUUCUUGUACUGCCGGCAGAGGAAGAGUUGGAUCUGCCAUUACCUUGGAUCAGCUUAUCGAGCCAGCUCUGUUGCCCCCGCAGCCCAUCGCAUGGUAUGUGAGAGGGAUUACCACAAGGACAACCGAGAUGCUGGUAAAUGACCUAAUAGCGGAAACUGCUCGACUGCGAGGCCUGGCAAGCAAUGGGGAUGCCAACCUGCGUACUGAAGAAAAUUGUGAUGUUAAUGGAGGCGUUCUAACAGAAGAGUGUAAUGAUGUGAAGGAAAGAUGGCGGCAGAGAAGAAAAGCUGGACGACAUGUAAGUUCCCUUAGAUUGACACGACAAUAA